CUAUCCUCUAAGAACCAGCUUGAUAUCCUGUCAACAUUUGGAGUGGGUCUGCUAAUACAGCAUCAGAAUGGGUUCUGCUGGAAGCGUUGUUGAUUCUGCUGAUACAGUCAGGGGUUGGAUACAGCACCACACGAACGUGGCCAAUGCCAGUGGAAGGACCAUCUACGUCAAAGUGAGGAGUCCUGGAAGAACAGAUACUGAACAGAUUCCUGCAGGAAGUUCAGUGUCGUUUGGAACAGACAAGGGCCAAGUCACCUUGAUGGUCUAUGACAACAGCAGCUACGACAACUUCCUGGCGAGCAAAACACUGGACUCUGAUUACAGUAUGAUAGUCAAGAGUAGUGGUUCUGGCUUUUAUAUAGUGAGAGCAAAAUAUGGUACAAUUUGGCAAGAAGGUUAAACAGAAACUCUUGAAUUUUCCAAUUGAAGCUGAACUGACUAUGUUAAUUAAUUAUUUUGAAAACUAGUCAUAAAUACAUCACAAUCAUAUUAACUUUAUUCUCCUGAUCUCUAUCAUUAAUGACAAACAAAUGAUGAGAUUCUUGUCUUUCUGUUUUCAGUUUUGCCUAAACAAUAACACAAUAUGUUAUUGUUUAUUUUGUUAUUGUAAUGUCUUUUCUUUAAUGAAUUCAUUAAAGCAUUGCAAGUUGCAGCA